GAUGAAGAACGUAGUGAAAUGCGAUAAGUAAUGUGAAUUGCAGAAUCUUGUGAAUCAUCGAAUCUUUGAACGCACAUGGCGCCUUCCAGUAUCCUGGGAGGCAUGCCUGUCCGAGCGUCGUUUCAACCCUCGAGCCCCCGUGGCCCGGCGUUGGGGAUCUGCCCAGGCAGUCCCCGAAAACCAGUGGCGGACCCGUUACAGGCCCUUCCCUUGCGUAGUAGCAUUCGCCUCGCAUCGGGAGCCGGCGGGCUUCCAGCCUCUAAACCCCCAUCAAGUCCGCCCCGGCGGCACCAAGGUUGACCUCGGAUCAGGUAGGAAUACCCGCUGAACUUAAGCAUAUCAAUAAGCGGAGGA
rnacentral:misc_RNA from 1 species